GCCGCGGGCACCCUCCCGGCCAUCGCGUGGGAUCCAGGCUCCGGAGUGCCUCGGGGAGGAGUUUGCAGAGCCAGCAAGCAGCUGGCAUCUAGGAACCUCAUCCUUAAUAUUUUAAAGCCAACUUGAAAUCUCUGAUUGCAUUUAGAGAGUGUUUCCUGCUGCGCUGCGAGGGCUGGCUGAUCGGCGUUCCCCGAGACCUGUAACAAGAGCAAAGGGUAAAGACGCUGGAAUGUUUUACAGGUCUCCUGUUAUGUCUCAAAGAAAAACGAGCUGCCCGCAGGAUGACUGAGCGCCACCAACCUGAUGCACCUGGGAAACAAGCAAAAGCUAUCUGAGGGUGUAUCAAGAGAGGUAUUUCCUGUAGGUAGAAGGGAAGUGCUAGUGCCGGUGAACAAGGCCCUCAUGAAACCUCAUUUGGGACACUAGUUCAUCUGUGUUCCAAAAAAGAUAAAUACAUACUGGAACAGAUAGGGGAGCUUUGAUUGCUGCCUAAAACUACCAGGAAGGGAGAAGAAUUACCUAAGUGAAAAGACAAGGUUCUUACUAGAACAUAUCGGUAUAAACUGGCCAUGAAUACAUUUUGGUUGGAAAUUACAAGAUUUGAACUAUCAGAGUGAGGUUCUAGACAGUUUCUAGUAGAAGAGUUGUGGCAAAAGAAACAACUAGCUUUUAAGAUGAUGCUUGGUGAAUUUAUGAAAUGAAAUUAAUUAUUUAACAUGGCUGCCUACAACAGCUGGCGUCUAGAAUUGAAGACCCAGAAGAUCUUUUCCAGUCUUAUGUUCCUAUGUCAUUUCAUAAAAAACCAACAUGCAUGGCCAUGGAUCAAAAUAUCCAAGUACAUUCAAAGCAUACAGGUAGAAAUGAGGCAAGAACCAAUCUUAACCUCCACAAAGGAAAAUAAGCAUGUAUUUGAAAAGGAAGUACUUCCCUACCAAACCCCUCUUAAAUUCAGUUAUGGUUUCAACAAAUGGGAAAGAAAGUCCUUGGUAUGUGUCAAGGCCUUUGUCAAUGUGUUCUCACUACAAAAGGAUGAUGGACUCUCUUAAGAAGAUACAGCUUUACAUGUAGUAAAGGCUAUAAGCGAGAUUGGACUAUCAUACAAUAAAUUUAAGCUUAUGCAAAAUAAAUGUUAACAGUCAAAGGAGUCAGACAGACAACAGCCAGCUAAACAAGUGACACCAGACAAGCAUCACACCAUAAAACCUCUACCAGUUAUUCAAGGUCUACAUCUGAGGACAAGACUCAAAGGAAAGGUUUGAGAACAACUAGUAAAUCCUGGUGACUGAACACCCAGUUAAGGUUGCUGGAAAAAUAUGUAUGGCCAAACACCCCAUGAGAUGAUAUAGAGUCCUCAGAGCAGCAAAGCAAUUCUUAAGCACUUAACCUGAAAAAAAGGAAGAUUUCAACUAAAAAUAAGGGAGGAACAAAAACAGUUGGAUACAAGCUGCCAUAAACUAAGAGAAAUUUAUGAGGGAACUUUCCAACUUCAACACAUGGCACUAAUCUACAUGCUGCUUUUCAUGACACACUGCCGAGCUGCAAUCCAUGGUUUAACAGAAGCAAAAAUCAGACCAUAUGAAGGAAAAAUUAGCAUGAAUUGAAGAUGCAAUAUGUCUGAUUACUUCCUGGAAAGAAACAAACCUCAACAAUCAAGGAAGGUCAAUUUUGAGCAAAUCACUUCCAUGGCAUGCACAAAGGAAUUUGUUCCUCCUACAAAAUGCAUCAUUAGAAAUACAUGUUAUUAUACUUGAAGGUGUAUAAGCUGAAUAUGAGCCAACAGCGUGCUCGUUGCAAAAAAGCCAACAGUAUACUGCGUCAUAUUAAGAGGAGUGUCACCUGAAAAAUCAAGGGAAGUGAUUCUUUUGCUCUAUUCACCACUGCUAAGGCCUCAUUUAGAAUAUUGUGUCCAAUUUUGGGCCCCACACUUCAAGAAAAAUGUGGACAGAUUGGAAAGAGUUCAACACACAGUAAAAAAAAUAUGAUUAGGGGCCUGGGAAAUAUGACAUAUGAAGAAAGGCUGAAAGAACUAGGACUAGUCUGGAGAAGACUGAGUGGGGAUUUAAUAACAGUCCCCAAAUAUCAGAAGAGUGAUUAUAAAGAGGAUGGAGAUACCCUUUUCUCUGUGGCGGUAGGAGACAGGACUAGGAGCAAACUACAGCAGAGGAAAUUUAGGUUGGAGAUUAGGAGGAACUUUAGGAAGAACAGGCUGCCCAGAUAAGUUGUAGGAUCUCCAUCCCUGGACAUUUUCAAGAGCAUGGUAGGAAGACACUUGAAUGAGAUGGUUUAACCAGGGGUGAUCCUACCCUGAGGAGCGGCUGGACUAGAUCUGUAACAACAUGGACAUUAAAAAAUAUUGAAAACCCCAAGUCAGGAAAUGAUUUAUACCAGAUAAUACCAAGGAAGAUGCUGUACCAAGGAAGAUGCUGAAACAAAGUAUUGAACACAUCCCAAAAUUUAUUUAGACAUUUCUUUAACUUGGAAAUUUCCUUAUAAUCAAAUGGAGUAAUUAUUCCAAUAUACAAAAGUAGAAAUGUCCUCAGCCCAAACACCUGUGGAUAUCUAUGUUAGCAGCAACAGUAAACUAUUCUGUAACAGUCUCAACAUUGUAAUAGUAACAUAACUGACCAACAUGGUAAUACAAAGAAAUAAGAUUUGACUGAGAAAUGAAUAAUUAAACUGUGACCCUAUAGGAAUAUUUCCUGCUUUACAGAUAUUUUAAAAGCUUUAACUUCACUUGGCACCCUUGACGGAAUAUUCAUGGCUACAAAAUGAGAUCAGUAAAACAAAUGUAUUGCAAAAUUAAAUCCAGGUAUCAAUUCAUCAGGUAUGGAAGAAAGAUGGCUUUUAUGUAGUUCUGGGCUAGGACUCUGGUGACAUAGGUUCAGAUUCUGGUUCUGUGAAUUCUGUAAAAUGAUCUGUACGGGUGAAUCUUGACUGGAAUCAAAGACCGGAGCAUAGAAUAACCAAAACCAAGUGAAGGCCCAUUUCUAUGCUCUGGUCUUUGAUUCUAGUUAAGAUUCACCUGUAUGCAUUAUUUUACAGAAUUUAUAGACAUAGAAAUUAAACAUAGUUUGAACUUUCUUACUGCACUUUUAUAAAAUACAAUGUAGACUAUCUGUAAAAGUAUUAAAAGAAACAGCUAUAUCAUGACCUUUAAUGUCUUAAAGGAACUAUGUAAAGCCAAUCCUUUGUAACAAAGCCAUUAAAGUUUAGCAGUUUAGAAGGAGAUUCAUUAGUAUUUCUAAGAAUGUUACUUUUGAAUGGAUUUACUACAACAGCAACUCCUUCCAAUAUGGAUAGAAGUGAUUCUUUAGAGGCCAGAUUGGUUAUCUGCUACAGAAGAGGCCCAGGUGCCCACCUGGUGGGAAUGGAAAUCUAAAUAUGAGUCAUGGGACUUUGUAGUUCAGUAACUGAACUCAUGCAGAGAUAGCACUGGCAAACUAGCUAGUUCUCAGAAGGGAAGCACAGGAAAUUCAAUCUUAUUUUUUUGGGAAACACAAUUGGAUAUAUUUUACUUGCUUGAACUUUUUUCUUUAAGGUCUCUAUUUAUAUCCUGCCUGAAUUUAAAUUUUGGGUUAUCUUUCUGUAAAUGUCCUGUAGCUCCUACUUGAGGUCCAUCUCAGCUGAGAGGGAUAGGGAAGCUUGAGACAAUGCAAAAAACACCACAAAAAUCUUGAUGUGGUCUGAUAAUCCCACUGCUAAAUUGCUUCUACAGCACAGUCUAACCUAUUUUAUUAUAUAAUAGUUAAAUAUGUGUCCCAUACUCACAAAGUAAACAACAUACCAGUAAAAAAAAUAAAGCAAACCCUACAUCUUUCAAUUUGUAAGCAAAUACUAGACAGGAACGCCAACUCAGCAUCUACAGAGCCAAAUGCAAAACCCACCUUUCUGAUCCACCCUUUCUCUAAUGGAAGUAUCUUCCCCGGCCAAAAAAUCUAGUCUCUGUUGAUUUAAAAAGAAGUGCAAGAAAGUUAUUUAUAAAUGCCAUAACUUCAGAAGGAAUUCCAGAUACCAUGGCGAUGGUUGUCAUAGGAGAACCUAGAUAGAUAAAUGGAUUAAGCAGACGUUUGCUUAGACAUUUGCUUGGAGAACAAAUCUAAGACUGCCACAGAUCUCUGCACACAACAUCACUAAAGUGAGAUGUGAAAAGCUAAAACAGACUGCCGCUGGAUACUGAAUCAGUGACCACAAACACGAGAUGGAAAACAGGAAUCAGUAUACAUUGUCAGCCCAAGAGGAACAGCUGCUAUGCAACGAGUGUGAAAAAGGUGAAACUGAGAUGCACUUUCUAUUCCAAUGUCCAAAGCCAUUUUUUAGACAGACUACCUGGGUGUGUCCACACAUGCAGGCAUGUGCGCUUGCAGCAGCUCAAAUAGCAGUGGCACAAAUUUGUGCCAGAGAUUUGUGGCUCAGCACACGUACCUGAACAUGCACUUUGGUGUGGGGCAGAUUGUGCCACUUGGGGCAAAUUGACCCUUCCCAGCUCCUCCCAGAUUUUCAGCCAGGGGGAGCUAGAGCCUGGGGACAGCACCUGUUCUGGCCUCUGCAGUAUAAAAAUGUGUCCUAGCAAGCAGCUCAGGGCUACUUGAGCUUUUGAGGCCUGGCCAGUUGGUAUCUGGGGACACUAGCGCUUUGUGCCAGCUUGACUGCUGAAGCAGCCCUAACCUAGAUUGGUCCCUGCACCUCUACCCACUGCAGCCUCUGGCAGUGCAGGCUGCUGCCUGGCUGUGACCCACUUUCACCUGCAACAGCAUCCCCCCUCUUGGACCUGUGGCCCCAUAGCUGCAUGCCUGCCAGACCCAGACCAGGAUUGCACGGCUGCUUGGGCUGUGGUAUGGGCACUGCAGCAGAACCUUCUGCAUAUCUGGACCAGCUGCCAGUGGGCCAUAGCUGCACAGUUGGCCUUUGGGCAGCACUGCUGUCAUGUCUUCCAGUGCCCCCACUCUGCCAUCUGGGCAGCUAUCACCCAGAAGAUGUGCUUGCUGCAGUGGCCCACUUUGAACUAUCUUGGCCCCAAAUGAUCAGGUCAGCCACCUCAUCUGCCUUCCAACUGGGUCCCCAGUGCUGGCCCUGGGCAGGCUCCUCUGCCCGGGUUUCACCACUUGCCUCACCAGCAGAGAUCUUAGUGUAACCUGUUUAAAAAUUGCAAAUUCUCUGAUGAGAGAAUUCGUGUUUCUUAUUAAAAUGCCCAAAAUCUGUGUUCUGCUAUUAAAAUGAAAUGCCACUAUAUAUAGAGAGACCAGUUGAACAAUGUUUUAUUGAUAUACAGGCAGUCCCCAACUUACAACAUUUCACACUUAUAACAUUUAUAAAUUGACACUCUGUUUCAAGUUUAUGACAUCAGUUUUGAUGUACAACACUUGAUCUGAUGCAAUGCCAUGCCAGCGAACAAGUUUGCUGUGUUGCUCAGCUCCCUGGAGAACAUCUGUCCAAACUGCCUUGGACACUUUCUUUAAGAAAGCAGACACACAAUACUCCAGAAAAACUUGCAGCCAAGACUCCUGAGAAGACUCCAGCCAAGAACCCUUCAAAAAGUCCAACCAAGAGCCUUUCAAAAAGUCUAGCAAAGUCACCUCAAAGAAGUCCUUCCAAAUUAAUAUGAUUGCUAUUUAUGAUAUAAAUACAUUAAUGUAGCUAUAUUACUCACCUAUAAUUGAUAGAGUACAAAAUUCUGGAGUAUUUUUGGUGAAAAUAGGGUAUCGGGCCUUGGUUCAGGAACCAAUCCCCCAUUUAUAACAUUGUUUCUUAUGAGAAAAUUGGUUCCGAGUUGCAACGUUUCGACUUAAGACACGAUUUUCAGGAACCAAUUAUGUCAUAAGUCCAAAGACUGCCUGUAUUUACAAUUUUAGAGCAAUUUGGAAGUCUAUCAAUGCCUCUAUCAUAAUAAAAUGAAUUUUAAAUACCUAUA